rnacentral:rRNA from 1 species
GAUGAACGCUAGCUACAGGCUUAACACAUGCAAGUCGAGGGGAAACGAUAUUGGAAGCUUGCUUCCGAUAGGCGUCGACCGGCGCACGGGUGAGUAACGCGUAUCCAACCUGCCCAUCACUUGGGAAUAACCUUGCGAAAGUAAGACUAAUGCCCAAUGACAUUUAUAGAAGGCAUCUGAAAUGAAUUAAAGAUUUAUCGGUGAUGGAUGGGGAUGCGUCUGAUUAGCUUGUUGGCGGGGUAACGGCCCACCAAGGCGACGAUCAGUAGGGGUUCUGAGAGGAAGGUCCCCCACAUUGGAACUGAGACACGGUCCAAACUCCUACGGGAGGCAGCAGUGAGGAAUAUUGGUCAAUGGGGCGAGAGCCUGAACCAGCCAAGUAGCGUGCAGGAUGACGGCCCUAUGGGUUGUAAACUGCUUUUAUAAGGGAAUAAAGUGAGCCUCGUGAGGCUUUUUGCAUGUACCUUAUGAAUAAGGACCGGCUAAUUCCGUGCCAGCAGCCG